rnacentral:lncRNA from 1 species
UAAAAAUGUUUGUUCUUAUUUCCAUGCCCCUCCCAAUCUUCUUCGGUUCAUUUACCUCUCAUUAGUACACGAAGAUCUGCCAGGCCAGGGGAGCCACCACCAGUCCCCUCUGAGGCCCUCCCCAAACUGCAGCCUCAAUACAUGUUCAAGCCAUCUGCCUUCUUUGUCUCAAUCCAACACAGUGCGGCUAUUAAGUCAACUCUCAUUUCAACCUUUUGAAACAACAACCGAAGAACAAAACAAGUUUGUUACAUUUCAGCCUCUGUGCAGAGCUGAAGUUCAACAUCUGGAAAGAAGAAGUUGCACCGCUGACCUUUGUAGAUAUGAGAAGACCAAAGCCACACAGAGCAUCCUGGCAGAUAAGCAGCGCCAUGUGGAGAACGCUCAAGACACCCACACACGUGGCGAGCACCAGGAAAAAGGAAGUAGCAGGACUCAGACCUUUGUUUUGGUCCUUCAGCUGAAACAGUAAAGAGACAAAGAGACAAACAAAGACUAUGUUGCUCACGUGUGGAAAAACAGCAAAAGUAUUUUUUAUGAUGGAAUCAAAGAAAGUGAAUCACCUGCUGUUUGAUAUGAAGCCUCGACUCAAGUAUAUUCAAACAUUGAAUCUGGAAAAAAGCCCACCAUUUACACUGAGUGAUACUUUAUUGUCCUUUAGGAAUAUUUACUGUAGGCUCAGUUGCUGUCAGUGAAGCUUCCUUCACAAAGAGUUAAUAAAGCUCCCUGACGAACCUUUACAGAACUCGCUGUCUCAAGAGGGCACGCAACUUCUUACAAGACUGUACACACCCAGGACACCGGGUGUUUAAGCUGCUGCCAUCUGCCAGGAGGUUCAGGCUGCUGAGGUUGUGGACAAACAAACUAAAGGGCAGAGCUACAGCUCUAAUCAGAGCAAACAGCUGACCUUAUUGGCUACCUCCCUGAACUUUUUUGAGGGGUAACACCAAUAACAAAAAUAAUAUUUAUAUUUAUAACAAGGUGGAAUAAUAAUCAAUGUGCAAUACACAAAGACUUAUUCUUCAUUUUAUUACUUAAGUUACUGUGUUGUGUUGUGUUGUGUCGUGUCGUGUCGUGUUGUGUUGUGAUGUGUCGUGUUGUGUUGUACAUAGUGCGGCGUGGGACUGUUUACCAAUUGAAUUGCACUGUUGUACUAUGUAUGACUGUGCAAUGA